GACGAACGCUGGCGGCGUGCUUAACACGUGCAAGUCGAACGGAAAGGCCCUGCUUUUGUGGGGUGCUCGAGUGGCGAACGGGUGAGUAACACGUGAGUAACCUGCCCUUGACUUUGGGAUAACUUCAGGAAACUGGGGCUAAUACCGGAUAGGAGCUCCUGCUGCAUGGUGGGGGUUGGAAAGUUUCGGCGGUUGGGGAUGGACUCGCGGCUUAUCAGCUUGUUGGUGGGGUAGUGGCUUACCAAGGCUUUGACGGGUAGCCGGCCUGAGAGGGUGACCGGCCACAUUGGGACUGAGAUACGGCCCAGACUCCUACGGGAGGCAGCAGUGGGGAAUAUUGCACAAUGGGCGGAAGCCUGAUGCAGCAACGCCGCGUGCAAGAUGACGGCCUUCGGGUUGUAAACCGCUUUCGCCUGUGACGAAGCGUGAGUGACGGUAAUGGGUAAAGAAGCACCGGCUAACUACGUG
rnacentral:rRNA from 1 species